rnacentral:rRNA from 1 species
GAUAUUUAGUUCCCAAAAGAGAAAGAUCUAAAUUUUUAUAAUUAUUUCUGUGUCAUCAUAAUUUUUAAUAAAAGUUUAGAAGUGAAAUAUUAAUCGGUUUCUCUAAUAUUUGGUUCCUUAAGAAUUAAAUUUAAUUUAGACUCGCUUUUAUAUUUAAAUUAACUAGUUAAUUUAAAUAAAGUUAGAUUUAGGGUUAGAGGGAUUAGCUUUUAACUCAAUUUGAAUUAAGUAUAACUUAUUAAAUGAUAAAAUGUUUAUAUGCUUAGAAAUAGCAACUAAUGAAAAUAAUGUUAUAAUUUACAUUUUAAAAAUAAUUAUUUUAUAAAAAUUUACUUAAUUUAUUAAGGUAAAGUCUUGAAUAUUUCAAGACUAGUAAUAAUAUUAUUAUGAGUAGAAAAAUGAUUUAAAUUUUUUGUAAUAUUAAAUAUAACAAAGGAACUCGGCAAAUAUAUUUUUCGCCUGUUUAUCAAAAACAUCUCCUUAAGACUUAAUUUAAGGUAUAGCCUGCUCUAUGAAUAUUUUUAAUGGCCGCGGUAUUUUGACCGUGCGAAGGUAGCAUAAUCAUUAGUCUUUUAAUUGAAGGCUGGUAUGAAUGGCUGGACGAGAAAAUUUCUGUCUCUGUUAUAAUAUUUGAAUUUUAUUUUUAAGUGAAAAAGCUUAAAUUUUUUUGAGGGACGAUAAGACCCUAUGGAUCUUUAUAAUAAUAAAUAGUAAAAAGCUUAGAUUGUAACAGCUUAUUAUUUUGAAUUAUUGGGUUGGGGCGACCAGGAGAAAAAAGUAUCUCUUCUUAAAUAAAAUAUUAUUAGUAGAAAUAAAUUGACCCUGAAUUUUGGUUUAAAAGACUAAGUUACCCUAGGGAUAACAGCGUAAUCUUUUUGGAGAGUUCAUAUCGAUGAAAGGGUUUGCGACCUCGAUGUUGGAUUAAGAGACCCUUGCGCA